AGGAAGAGACACAAGGAAAGAGGAGUCGAGGCAACAGGCAUUUAACAAAAUGAGACAUCUGUGCUUCGGAGCCGUCAUUUUAAAGCGAUGUCCAAUUAAAUC